rnacentral:rRNA from 1 species
CCACAAUGGACGAAAGUCUGAUGGAGCAAUACCAUGUGAACGAUGAAGGCCUUUUUGGUUGUAAAGUUCUUUUACGAGGGAUAAUUAUGAUAGUACUUCGUGAAUAAGUGACAGCAAACUAUGUGCCAGCAGCUGCGGUAAUACAUAGGUCGCGAGCAUUAUUCGGAUUUAUUGGGCGUAAAGCAAGCGCAGGCGGAUGUGUAAGUUCUGUGUUAAAUGCAGCUACUCAAUAGUUGUAUGCACCGAAUACUAUAUGUCUAGAUUGUGGUAGGGAGUUUCGGAAUUAAGCAUGGAGCGGUGGAAUGUGUAGAUAUGCUUAAGAACACCAGAGGCGAAGGCGGAAACUUAGGCCAUAAAUGACGCUUAGGCUUGAAAGUGUGGGGAGCAAAUGGGAUUAGAUACCCCAGUAGUCCACACCGUAAACGAUGGGUAUUAGAUAUUAGGGCUUUAGCUUUAGUGUUGUAGCUUACGCGUUAAAUACCCCGCCUGGGUAGUACAUAUGCAAAUAUGAAACUCAAAGGAAUUGACGGGGACCUGAACAAGUGGUGGAGCAUGUUGCUUAAUUCGAUAAUACACGAAAAACCUUACCAAGGUUUGACAUCCCUCGC